CCAAUAGCGUAUAUUAAAGUUGUUGCAGUUAAAAAGCUCGUAGUUGAACUUCGGGGUUUACUUAUUGGUCAGGCUUAAUUGUCUGCACUGGUAAGAUGAAUCUCUACCUUCUGAGGAACUUUCAUGCCAUUUAUUUGGUGUGAUUGGAAAUCAGGACUGUUACUUUGAAAAAAUUAGAGUGUUUAAAGCAGGCUAACGUCUGAAUACAUUAGCAUGGAAUAAUGAAAUAGGACGGACUGAUUCUAUUUCGUUGGUUUCUAGGAUCACCGUAAUGAUUAAUAGGGAUAGUUGGGGGCAUUAGUAUUCAAUUGGCAGAGGUGAAAUUCUUGGAUUUAUUGAAGACUAACUACUGCGAAAGCAUUUGCCAAGGAUGUUUUCAUUAAUCAAGAACGAAAGUUAGGGGAUCGAAGACGAUCAGAUACCGUCGUAGUCUUAACCAUAAACUAUGCCGACUAGGGAUCGGACGAAGUUAAUUUUAUAAUGACGCGUUCGGCACCUUACG
rnacentral:misc_RNA from 1 species